ACACCAGAUUCAACUGAGACCUUGACCAGAACCACUGAAACCACCUGUAUUGGAAGAUUAAUGGAUUCAGUUUCUUCAAUCGUACACGUCGGAGAGAAUCAUCCAAGCUUAGGCCCCCACCACCAUAACGAACCCUUCACACACCUCGAGCACACCCGAGGAACCCAAAUGACACCACCCAAUCUUGCGAUACUUUAGCCAGCGAUAACCAUCGAAGACGAACGGAACAGCUCGAGAAAGAGCACGCAACGUCAUCAAAGUUUCAUCGCCGGAUAGUUCCGCCGAAGGAAGCGCGAACCACCAGAAGAAAAGCCGGCUACACGCCGUCAAGGGGACUGCCGUGUACCAGAAUUGGUAAUCACAACUCGUGGAGGGAACCACCGCGACUCUCGAUCUCUCAAAAAUCUCAGAGAGAGAAGAGAGAGAGAGAGUCUACCAUUCCCAUUUCUAAGUACGCUUUCACCAAUUUCAGUUUCUCCUCUCCGUGAUUUCGCAAUAUAUAAAGAUAAAUAUUUAGGGUUUACCUCCUAGGUAAACUUAUAAAUUCACCGCACUUCUAAUAUCUAAUCAAAGUGCCACAUCUAUUAAUACAUAAAAAAUAUCAAAUUAAAAUAAAAUAACUACAAAAAUAACGUCAAUUUUAACGAGGCUUAUGACGUUAAC
rnacentral:lncRNA from 1 species